ensembl:misc_RNA Metazoa_SRP Metazoan signal recognition particle RNA
GCCGGGCGUGGUGGCGCAUGCCUGUAAUCCCAGCUACUUGGGAGGCUGAGGCAGGAGAAUCGCUUGAACCUGGGAGGCAGAGGUUUGUGGUGAGCUGAUUUUGCGCCAUUGUACUCCAGCCUGGGCAACAAGAGCGAAAUUCUGCCUCAAAAAAACAAAACAAAACAAAACAAAAAUUUAUAUAUUUUGGAUAUGGAGUCUCAUUUUGUCACCCAGGCUGGAGUACAGUGGUGCAAUCUCAGCUUACUGCAACCUUUGCCUCCCAGGUUCAAGCGAUUCUGGUGCCUCAG